GCUUGUCUCAAAGAUUAAGCCAUGCAUGUUCAAGUAUAGCAAGUGUACAGUGAAACUGCGAAUGGCUCAUUAUAUCAGUUAUAGUUUAUUUGAUGGUUCAUACUACUUGGAUAACCGUAGUAAUUCUAGAGCUAAUACAUGCGUCAAAACCCAACUUCUGGGAGGGUUGUAUUUAUUAGAUGGAAACCAAUGCGGGGUAACCCGGAAUAUGGUGAUUCAUAAUAACUUUCGGAUCGAUUUAUCGAUGCAUCAUUCAAGUUUCUGCCCUAUCAGCUUUGGAUGGUAGGGUAUUGGCCUACCAUGGCUUUAACGGGUAACGGAGAAUUAGGGUUCGAUUCCGGAGAGGGAGCCUGAGAAACGGCUACCACAUCCAAGGAAGGCAGCAGG
rnacentral:rRNA from 1 species